AGCGCAGGUGGGAAUGUAAGUCUUUCUUAAAAGUGCGGGGCUCAACUCCGUGAUGGGAAAGAACUAUAUUUCUUGAGUGCAGGAGAGGAAAGCGGAAUUCCUAGUGUAGCGGUGAAAUGCGUAGAUAUUAGGAGGAACACCAGUGGCGAAGGCGGCUUUCUGGACUGUAACUGACACUGAGGCUCGAAAGCCAGGGGAGCGAACG
rnacentral:rRNA from 1 species